UACGUAGGGCGCAAGCGUUGUCCGGAAUUAUUGGGCGUAAAGAGCUCGUAGGCGGUUUGUUGCGUCGGCUGUGAAAUCCCGAGGCUCAACCUCGGGUCUGCAGUCGAUACGAGCAAACUAGAGUGUUGCAGGGGAGACUGGAAUUCCUGGUGUAACGGUGAAAUGCGCAGAUAUCAGGAGGAACACCGGUGGCGAAGGCGGGUCUCUGGGCAACAACUGACGCUGAGGAGCGAAAGCGUGGGGAGCGAACAGG
rnacentral:rRNA from 1 species